rnacentral:rRNA from 1 species
GACGAACGCUGGCGGCGUGCUUAACACAUGCAAGUCGAACGAUGAAGCCGGAGCUUGCUCUGGUGAAUUAGUGGCGAACGGGUGAGUAACACGUGAGUAACCUGCCCUUGACUCUGGGAUAACUGCGGGAAACUGUAGCUAAUACCGGAUACGACCCUCGGAGGCAUCUCCUGGGGGUGGAAAGAAUUUUGGUCAAGGAUGGACUCGCGGCCUAUCAGCUAGUUGGUGAGGUAAAGGCUCACCAAGGCGACGGCGGGUAGCCGGCCUGAGAGGGUGACCGGCCACACUGGGACUGAGACACGGCCCAGACUCCUACGGGAGGCAGCAGUGGGGAAUAUUGCACAAUGGGCGCAAGCCUGAUGCAGCAACGCCGCGUGAGGGAUGACGGCCUUCGGGUUGUAAACCUCUUUUAGCAGGGAAGAAGCGAAAGUGACGGUACCUGCAGAAAAAGCACCGGCUAACUACGUGCCAGCAGCCGCAGUAA